rnacentral:rRNA from 1 species
CAAUAGCGUAUAUUAAAGUUGUUGCAGUUAAAAAGCUCGUAGUUGGAUUUGUGGCUGUCACGGGCGGCCUAUCACUUAGUGUUAGUGCUUGCCUGUGUCGCCAUCCUUGGGUGGAGCCCGUGUGGCAUUAGGUUGUCGUGCGGGGGAUGCCCAUCGUUUACUGUGAGAAAAUUAGAGUGUUCAAAGCAGGCUUAUGCCAUUGAAUAUGUUAGCAUGGAAUAAUAAGAUAGGACCUCGGUACUAUUUUGUUGGUUUGCGCACCGAGGUAAUGAUUAAUAGGGACAGUUGGGGGUAUUCGUAUUCCGUUGUCAGAGGUGAAAUUCUUGGAUUUACGGAAGACGAACUACUGCGAAAGCAUUUACCAAGGAUGUUUUCAUUAA